GUCGUCAGCUCGUGUCGUGAGAUGUUGGGUUAAGUCCCGCAACGAGCGCAACCCUUGUCAUUAGUUGCUACAUUCAGUUGGGCACUCUAAUGAGACUGCCGGUGACAAGCCGGAGGAAGGUGGGGAUGACGUCAAGUCCUCAUGGCCCUUAUAGGUGGGGCUACACACGUCAUACAAUGGCUGGUACAAAGGGUUGCCAACCCGCGAGGGGGAGGCCAAUCCCAUAAAGCCAGUCGUAGUCCGGAUCGUAGUCUGCAACUCGACUACGUGAAGUCGGAAUCGCUAGUAAUCGUGGAUCAGAAUGUCACGGUGAAUACGUUCCCGGGUCCGUU
rnacentral:rRNA from 1 species